UGCAUACUCCCUCCGUCCUAAAAUACUUAUCAUCAAAAUGGAUAAAAAAAAGAUGUAUCUAGAACUAAAAUACGUCUAGAUACAUCCCCUUUUAUCCAUUUUGAUGACAAGUAUUUCCGAACGGAGGGAGUAUAUA
rfam:Triticum aestivum genome assembly, contig: Triticum_aestivum_CS42_TGACv1_scaffold_542506_6DS